CCUACGGGGGGCUGCAGUGGGGAAUAUUGGACAAUGGGCGAAAGCCUGAUCCAGCCAUGCCGCGUGUGUGAAGAAGGCCUUCGGGUUGUAAAGCACUUUCAGUGGGGAAGAAAGCCUUGGGGCUAAUACCCUCGAGGAAGGACAUCACCCACAGAAGAAGCACCGGCUAACUCCGUGCCAGCAGCCGCGGUAAUACGGAGGGUGCGAGCGUUAAUCGGAAUUACUGGGCGUAAAGCGCGCGUAGGCGGUCUGAUAAGCCGGUUGGGAAAGCCCCGGGCUCAACCUGGGAACGGCAUCCGGAACUGUCAGGCUAGAGUGCAGGAGAGGAAGGUAGAAUUCCCGGUGUAGCGGUGAAAUGCGUAGAGAGCGGGAGGAAUACCAGUGGCGAAGGCGGCCUUCUGGACUGACACUGACGCUGAGGUGCGAAAGCGUGGGUAGCAAACAGGAUUAGAUACCCCAGUAGUC
rnacentral:rRNA from 1 species